rnacentral:lncRNA from 1 species
UUUUUUAAGUCAUUUCAUAUAAUGAUAAAAUAAAUGUUAAUAUAAAAUGAUUAGUGGAGAGUGAUGAGAUAUAAUGCGGGGCUAACUAUCAUAAGUAUCUGGACUCCUGCACCAUGUCCCAAGAUGUUCGUUUCCUAAAACAAGCCCAAGCCCGAGGAACUUGUCAUCAAAUUCAACUGCUAUAUUAUUUUAUUUUAUUUUUUCCUUCUCACAAUUCCUGACAGAAAAAAGUAAAACAAUUAAUACUUUUUCCUACAAAUAAUUAAGCACUUCUUGGCCUUUGAUAGCCACAACUAAAAGCACUUCGGACACCGUUGUAAUGUCUCUUAACUUUUGCUAAAACUCUUAUGUUGUGUUUAUUUGUUGGAGUGGGAGUGAGGAAUGUGAAUUCUUCCUAUUCCAACGUUUACUUACUUAAAAUGAGGAGGGAUUGGGAGUCCCACUCCGUGGACCCCACCUAUUUUUGGAGUGGGAAGU